GACGAACGCUGGCGGCGUGCUUAACACAUGCAUGUCGAACGGAAAGGCCCUGCUUGCAGGGUACUCGAGUGGCGAACGGGUGAGUAACACGUGGGUGAUCUGCCCUGCACUUCGGGAUAAGCCUGGGAAACUGGGUCUAAUACCGGAUAGGAGCCAUUUUUAGUGUGAUGGUUGGAAAGUUUUUUCGGUGUAGGAUGAGCUCGCGGCCUAUCAGCUUGUUGGUGGGGUAAUGGCCUACCAAGGCGGCGACGGGUAGCCGGCCUGAGAGGGUGGACGGCCACAUUGGGACUGAGAUACGGCCCAGACUCCUACGGGAGGCAGCAGUGGGGAAUAUUGCACAAUGGGCGCAAGCCUGAUGCAGCGACGCCGCGUGGGGGAUGACGGCCUUCGGGUUGUAAACUCCUUUCGCUAGGGACGAAGCUUUUUGUGACGGUACCUAGAGAAGAAGCACCGGCUAACUACGUG
rnacentral:rRNA from 1 species